AAGAAAGGUCAAUGCCACAGGAAGUAGAAUUACGCGACAGCCCAAGUGACCUUCUGCAAAGAGGAUACCUCGCUCGCUGUAGUGAGGUAUGUAAACGCGCAAGUACAUGGACGUCAAACCACAAGCUUUGGCAGGGUGGAAGAAGUAUCGGCAGGCAAUUCGAAGAAACUUCGUCUCUGUCAUCUUCCCAGUUUUUACAGUCAGUGCCAUUUAUUUGGACUGGUCAAGGACACAGCGGUUUAAAAAGCAAAAGGCGUUGCUUGACACAGGGAAAGCUUAAUAGAGAAAAUGGUGAAACUACGAUUUCAGUUCAAGCACUAUUCCCAGCUCGUAUACCUUUCAAUACCCAUUGCUGGAUACUUCAUUGGGUGGAAGCUUCAAAAUCAAAUAGAUGAAGAUCUAACACAUUUUAGAAAUAAGAGCCAGUUAUUUGGUGGUCGAAAACAAAGUCUGUGGUAGCAGACUGCAUCCUGCAGUCAUGUUUGUCUGUCCACCAUACCUGUUUUCUUCGUAAUUUUCGUUGGUAGAUUCCAACAGUUGCUGUUUCUUUAUGGAGAAGGUAUUAGAUUUUUGUAAUGGCAUGGAAGAUGGGACUAACAAACUUAAGGAUUUAAAAACAAAACUGACAAAAAAAGAACACAAAUGAUAUCUCUUUCUUUUAAUAAUAGGGAGAGCUUUGAGUUGGAUAAAUUUGUUGAAAAAGAUAUGGGUUUGGAUAUUUUUAAUUGUUAAUAAGUUGCUUGCAAUAAAGAUGUAGCCAUGUUCAGAAAUUAAAGAAAUGAUGGAUUAAAGAAACUCCAACAGAAA
rnacentral:lncRNA from 1 species